rnacentral:rRNA from 1 species
UACAGAGGGGGGCUAGCGUUAUUCGGAAUUAUUGGGCGUAAAGGGCGCGUAGGCGGCCAUGCGUGUCUUCCGUGAAAUCCCUCGGCUUAACUGAGGACGUGCGGAAGAAACUGCAAGGCUCGAGUCCGGGAGAGGGGGGGUGGAAUUCCCAGUGUAGCGGUGAAAUGCGUAGAUAUUGGGAGGAACACCGGUGGCGAAGGCGGCCCCCCUGGACCGGUACUGACGCUGAGGCGCGAAAGCGUGGGUAGCAAACGGG